rnacentral:misc_RNA from 1 species
CGCUGACCUCAUUUAAUAUAGGAUUAAGACUUAAUUUUAUAUUUACUUGUCAACUUUUAUUGCAUGGAUGAUUAAAUUGUGAUGCAAAUAAUGCUCUAAUCAUAUCAAAAUCUAGCAGAAAUUUGUUAAAUAGCAUUUCACAAUAAAAUUAGAUUGUGCAUCAUAUGUGAGAUUUUGAGCAAUCGAAUAGUUUAAGUGGAGUUACAUCACUG